GGAAUUGUGGCUCAGUGGUAAAGUGCUCGCCUAGCACAUGUGAGGCCCUGAGUUUGAUCCUCAGCACCA
rnacentral:tRNA from 1 species